UAGGGAAUCUUCCACAAUGGGCGAAAGCCUGAUGGAGCAACGCCGCGUGUGUGAUGAAGGGUUCCGGCUCGUAAAACACUGCUGUAAGAGAAGAAUGACAUUGAGAGUAACUGUUCAAUGUGUGACGGUAUCUUACCAGAAAGGAACGGCUAAAUACGUGCCA
rnacentral:rRNA from 1 species